UACGAAGGGGGCUAGCGUUGUUCGGAAUCACUGGGCGUAAAGGGCGCGUAGGCGGCUUGGGAAGUCCGUGGUGAAAGCUCGUGGCUCAACUGCGAGUCGGCCAUGGAUACUCCUAAGCUCGAGCACUGUAGAGGCAGGUGGAAUUCCGGGUGUAGCGGUGGAAUGCGUAGAGAUCCGGAAGAACACCGGUGGCGAAGGCGGCCUGCUGGGCAGUAGCUGACGCUGAGGCGCGACAGCGUGGGGAGCAAACAGG
rnacentral:rRNA from 1 species